rnacentral:rRNA from 1 species
UGCCAGCCGCCGCGGUAAUACGGAGGGUGCAAGCAUUAAUCGGAUUUAUUGGGUGUAAAGAGCGCGUAGGCGGAUAAGUUAGUCAGGAUGUGAAAUCCCUCGGCUCAACCGAGGAACUGCGACUGAAACUGCAGAGCUUGAGUCCCGGAGAGGGUAGCGGAAUUCCCAGUGUAGCGGUGAAAUGCGUAGAUACUGGGAGGAACACCAGUGGCGAAGGCGGCUACCUGGACGGGUACUGACGCUGAGGCGCGAAAGCGUGGUGAGCAAACAGGAUUAGAUA